CAGCCAUGGCGGAGCCUGUGCAGGAGGAGCUCUCGGUCCUGGCCGCGAUUUUCUGCAGGCCCCACGAGUGGGAGGUGCUGAGCCGCUCAGGAGUACUUGAUUCUUCAGAAAACCUCCAAAGUAGAUGUGGACUCAAGUGGAAAGAAAUGCAAAGAGAAAAUGAUUAGUGUACUGUUUGAAACAAAAGUACAGACAGAACACAAAAGGUUUCUGGCAUUUGAAGUCAAAGAGUAUUCAGCGUUGGAUGAAUUACAAAAGGAAUUUGAAACUGCAGGACUUAAGAAGCUUUUCUCCGAAUUUGUACUUGCUCUGGUAAAAUGAAAUGGAAGACAGGAAUCUUUUAGUAAAAUAGCAGUGUUUUUUGUUGUUUUUGCAUUGGAUUUGGGGAGUGGUUAAUUGAAAUAGUCAAUUUUAAAGUUUCUCUGAAGCAAAAUGAUAGGCAUCAUUCUAACUUCAGGAACAAAAGCCAGUUCUGUUUUAUGAAAUAUUAAACAUGAAGAAAACUUGUAUAUUCUAAUGUUUGCCAGGAAAGGCUAGGUUCAGUAGAUGAGACAUUAUUUAAAAGAUAAAUUUAAAAAGAUGGUAAAUGAACACUUGUUUUUAUAGACAAUAUUUGUUUGAAACUAUGUAAUUUUCUGGCUAAUUUUCUUGUAAUUAAAUGAUUUUUU
rnacentral:lncRNA from 1 species